rnacentral:lncRNA from 1 species
UAAAGGGUAUUCUUUGCAGAGUCAUUUAUAAUUGAAAAAAAAAGUCUAUCAAUAGGAUAUUAUUGAAUAUGUCAUUAUUGAUCCACAUGAACUACUAUGGAAACCUAAUUAGGUGAGCCUACAUUUUUGAAAUGUAGAAAGAUAAUCCACAAUACGUCAAGUGAAAAAGGAGAUUAAAAAACUAUUCCACCAAUAAAAAAAAAAAAAAAAAAAAACUAUUCCACCUCCUAAAUAUUUCUUAAAUGAGUCCUCUUCUUUCAUCUCCAUUGCCACUCUGGUGCAAGCUAAUAUCCUCUUCUCUUUCCUGCUCCAGUCUGCUUCCUGCAACAUCUCCCAAGGCAGCUCUGAGACUGUUUUCCAGUGCUAAGACUUGCUUAUCUCACUGCUCACUGAAAAAGUGUCCUACCCCUUGGCCAUCUGGUUCCUGCCUACUCCUCCAGCUUUCUUGCCUCUCUCCUGCUGGUACCCCAGCCUCAGUGGCCUUCUUUUAGUUCUUCUGUUACACCUGGCCUACUCCAAUCUUGGUCCCUUGCAGUUGUUCUGGAACCUUCUCACCCACCGUACAGCUAUCUCUAUCUCAUGAUAUGCCUGUCAAUGCCCCUGCCUUUUCAGAACUCAGCAUAGACACCAUUACUUCAGGAAAGUCUUCCCUUUCCAUACACUAUAGGUCAGCGUUCUCUUUAUAUACUCUCAUAGCUCUCUUACCUUUUCUUUGAUCACCUUAUCACAGUUCACAAUUUUUUAUUUGUAGAUUAUAUCAUUACUAUCCAUUUCCCUCCAAAGGUCAAGGCAAAGACCAUGUCCAUUUGCUUUAUCAUUAUAUAUCACUGACAUGUAUUAAACACAAUUUAGAGACUGCCAUGUAUCAUGCACUGAAGUAUCUCAUAAGUGAAGGAAGGAAAGGAAGGUGAGAAGAGACGAAUGAGGAUAGUGCUGUUACUUGAAAAUCAAUAGAAAGAGCUAAAACCACUUCUUGACUAUCAUAAUUAAAAAUGUACACAUUCAUCAUAGAUUUUGAACCAUGAAAGUAGUACACAGACACCUCACCUAAGAAGAUAUAUAGAUGGCAAAUAAGGUUUUUUUUUUAAGAUUUUAUUUAUUUAUUCAUGAGAGAAAGAGAGAGAGAGGCAGAGACACAGGCAGAGGCAGAAGCAGGCUCCAUGCAGAGAAGCCUGACGUGGAACUCAAUCCGGGGUCUCCAGGAUCACACCCUGGGAUGAAGGCGGCACUAAACCGCUGAGCCACCUGGGCUGCCCUUUUUUUUUUUUUUAAUAUUUUAUUUAUUUAUUCAUGAGAGAUGCAGAGAGACAGAGACAGAGACACAGGCAAAGGGAGAAGCAGAUGGCAAAUAAGUUUAUGAGAUGUUCUGUAUCAUAGGUCAUCAGGCAAAUACAAAUUAAAACAAUGAAAUACCACCACCGCAUACCUAUUGGAAUGGCCCAAAUCCAUGAUACUGACACCACCAAAUGCUGACAAGGACACGAAGCACUAGGAACUCUCAUUCAUUGCUGGCAAGAAUGCAAAAAUGGUACAGCUAGUUUGAAGGUCAGUCUAGUGGUUUCUUACAAAAUUAAGUAUACUCCUAUCAUACAAUUUAGCAAUUCCACUCCUUGGUAUUUACCCAAAGAAUUUGCAAACUUAGGUCUGCACAAAAACCUACACAGAGAUGUUUACAGCAGCUUUACUCAUAAUUGUCAGAACUUGGAAGCAACCACAGUGGUCCUUCCAUAGGUGAAGAGAUAAACUGUGGUACUUCCAGACCAUGAAAUAUUCAGGGAUAAAAAGAAGUGAGCUAUCAAGCCAUGAAAAGAUACAAAGGAGACUUUAAAUGCAUUUUACUAAGUGAAAGAAGCCAAUUUGAAAAGGCUACACACUGUAUGACUCCAACCAAAUGACAUUCUGGAAAAGGCUAAAACUAUGGAAACAGUAAAAAUAUCAGUCGUUGUCAAGAGUUGAGGGGAGAGAUAUAUGAAGAAGUGGAGCACACAGAUUUUUAGAGCAGUGAAAAUACUCUGUAUGGUACUACAAUUGUGGGCACAUGUCAUUAUUCAUUCGUCUACACAACACCAAAAGUGAACAGUAAGGAAACUAUGGACUUUGGAUCAUAAUGAUGUGUGUGUGUCAACGUAGGUUCAUCAAUUAUAACAAAUGUGCCACUCCAGUGGGGAAUGCUAAUAGAGGGAAGCUGUGCAUAUGUGGGGGCAGGGGUGAUAUGGGAACUCUCUACUUGCACUCAAUUGUGCUAUCAACUGAAAACUGCCCUAAAAAUAGGCUCUUUUAAAAAAGUACUAAAGGGUUUUUUUCCCGUAUUUAUCCUUCCCAAAUCAGAGGCUCAAUGAUGCAUUGCCUGGUUAUGGUUCCUCACUGCCACAAAUGAGAUGGCAAAUUCAUCUCUAGUGCCUGGAUCACUGUCUGGGUCAACUUUAUGGGACUUUAAGCAUUCCAAUGCCAAGAAUCAGACCCAUCUGUAACCCAGGGACCUGAUGUCUUAAAUGCUGUCAAUAACAAAGCCAAUCCUACCUUCCAUUUGCAUAAAAUAAAUCAGAAAUUCUAUUUUGAAUCAAUGAUUCCAGAUUUCCACUUCUCACCCCCUCUUGCCCUAAGAUCGUUCCUAAGAUAAUUUCACUUUCUUAGGGAAAUUUCACUAUAUAUCCAAAAGGGUAAGAUCAAUUUCCUCUUCAUCUUCUCUUUUUUCUUACGCUUUCUACACCAUACACCACAACACCUACCAAAUCCUAACCACCUUUAAACUCAGGGCAGACAUUUUGCUCCCAUGGUUAUCAAGUUCUAGUCCAUGGAUCCCAGCUCCACAUUGUAUUUUUCAAUAUUGCAAUUGCAUUGGCAAUAAUCAAUGUUUAUCUGUUGGUGCAAAAAGAGUCCAGGUCUAAGUGCAGAGCCUAGCUCAUUUCUCCUAGCUCAUUCUGACCUCAAUUAGGAAAGAUGAAUGCUAUGAAGGGAGCAGAAGACCAUAGUGAUUCAAGGUGGUUAGUGAUUUUAUUUUUAAAGGAUUCAAGAAACUUACUGUGCAUUUUGGCAUCAAAUAUAUAUGAUAUAAACUGUGUAUAACUGUAGGCAGAUUGGCACCUGUGGAUAGUGGGAGGCUGAAGAUUUACAGUCAAUAUUUAGUCAACAGCUCAGUCACUUUGCUCUGGAUAUAAAUGUCUCUGACUUCUUUCAAACAUUAUUUUUCACUGUGUUUACAAGCUCAUGUAAUCUUUUUCCUGACCAGUUAUAUAAAAAUAAUUUUUUAAGUAAUACAUUUCAAAGACAUCUGACAUACUAGAAAAUGGGUCUGCAAGUGUGCUUAUAUACAUGGUGUAAUUGAAAGAUUACGGUAGGGAAGACCUUCAGGAGGUCGUUUGACAUUUUCGGAAAUGAGAUCCCUUACCUGUAUAAUCAAAAAUAAGCCAAAUCAGCUGCAAGACUUCACCUCCCUUCUCAAAUCAUCUUUUAAUUUAUGUAAGUAACAAUCUGCUCCUAUCUCACAUAGCAUUUAUCAGAUUCUACUCCUGUUUUCGUUAUCUGAGUUUUUCAUACUCCACUGGCUCCUUCUACCACCACCAACUCCAGGUCCCUGAAGCCAGGGAUGUUGUUUCAGUCUAUCAGUAUAUUCCCUGUUAUACCUAGUAAAGUGUCUUGAAUGCUCAGGUACUCAGAAUGAAUACUGAAUGAAUUGGAGUGUCCAGAAGUGAGCAAUGUCCCUGACACCCACUAUUCUGGCUUGAAUUGUGUCCCCCCAAAAUUCAUAUGUGGAAGUCCUAAUCCCUGGUACCUCAGAAUAUGACUGUAUUUGGAACUAGGGCUGUUGCAUAGAAUCAGUUAAAAUGAACAGGGUGGGCCCCAAUCCAAAAUGACUGGUAUCCUUAUAAAAAGGGGAAAUUUGGACAUAGACACAAGCACAGAGAACAGCAUGCAAAGAUGAAGGUAGGGAUCUCAGGGAUGCUUUUACAUGUCAAGAAACACCAAAGAUUCUCAGCAAACUACCAGAAAUUAGGAGAGGGGCAUGGAGCAGAUUCCUCCUCAGAGUCCCCAGAAUGAACCAACGUGGCCAACACUGUGAUCUUGAACUUCCAGCACCCAGAGCUACAGACAAGUAAUUUCUGUUGCUUAAGCCAUCAGGUUUGUGGUUCUUUGUUACAUCAGCCCGAGCAAAGUAUACCCACUGCAUUACCAAUAGCUGCCUCUCUUGUAGUUAUAAAGGGAACCCCUGAGGCCACAACAGCUGCUAGAAACCCAAGCCCACUUGGCCAGUAUCAUCAAAUCCCCAUCUGUACCUGGUCUGUACACCUGACCACGCCCCUUCCCCUGCCUACCUAUCCACCUUCCCACUGGGCCUGGGAGACUUCCCAUAUGCUUUACCUUUUCAGAGAAUGCUCCUUCCACUUCCUUGCCUUAAUGGAAAACUCUGCUCCCCCCAGAGGAACUGCUGUCUGGAACCUGCCACUUUCUUAAAUGGAGGCUGGUUUGUCAUUAGUGCCUCUCACUCCGCCAAGCCAAGAAUUUGAGUUGCCCAAGACUACCACUUCCUUUUCCCUUUGCAAACUUUCCUGCUUAAGUUGCACACUAUACCCAGUGGCUCCCUGUUACCUGCCAUGUUACCUUCCCAUUCACCGACAGACCAAGGUGGUUAAGAAUGUAGGCGCUAGAGCCAGACUGCCCAAGUCUGAGAACCAGUUAUGAGACUCGCCAGCAAUGUCACUUGGGCAAGUCCAUCAACUCUUGUGAGCCUCAGUUUCCUUGUCUAUAAAAUGGGGGCAAUGAUAAUAUAUAAAGCUUGUGAGCCUCAGUUUCCUUGUCUAUAAAAUGGGGCAAUGAUAAUAUAUAAAGCUCUUAGAACAGUGCACUGCACCUAAUAAACGCUGAAGGAGUAUUAGCUACUGUUAGAACCGUUUCUAGGUCUGAGUUGUCUUCUUUAUCUCUACCUUGCUGAUUGUCUUCUUUCUUGGUGCCUUCCACAUUCAUGUGGAUGACCCCUGCCAACUCUGGCUUUCAAUUCCUUGAUCUCCUUACUUCCAGUGACCUUCUCCUUCACACUAUCUGAGCCACUGAAGCCCUUGAUCACAUUCCAGCCUCAUCAAUUCCAAAAUCCAUACCAUCUAGAACUUCUGACACUAAAAAAACCCUAUUCUCUGAUCAUAACCUCCAAUCUUUCUGUUUACUUGUGCAAGUGCCCUCACUAUAAACAAUCUACCACCUCCCAUGACAACCCAAAAAUGCCAUUCUCAGUACUUACCAGUCUCCUCCAUCUUCAUCUGCCUCCAGCAGUCUUCCUCUCUAUUCUGGUACUCAACCAGGUGAAUACUGCUAAAGAAAAUUAUAAAAUAAUUUAAACUGGUACAGUGGCCUUGGCAUUUUAAAAUAUUUCCCUCCCUUCCAUUAGUUAUCCAUACAACAGCAAGGUUGUUCCUUUUAAAUAUGCUGAUAGGCCUGACUCUGUUGACUCUCACACAACUGGAUGCAUGAGCUGUCUCUGGCUGCUGGUUCCCAGUUCAACCCUUGUCAUGCUCAUUAAUCUUGAUAAUGGAUGGCUGUUUCAAGAGGCAAAUGGGAACCCUCCAAGCCUAACUUCCACUCCUAGGUUCUCUCCUGAGACUCCCACUCCCCCAAACAACCUAUUUAUGGCUUUACUACUAGGUGUGGGAUCUAGUUAGGAGAAUAGUCUAUGAAAAAGUGUUCAUUUCUUUUUAUAAAAGGAAAGCAAAACUUUUUCAGAAGAAGAACAGGUACUUUCCCAAUAGACCAAGAAACCAUCCAUCCCCCUCUGAGAUUGUGCACCAGCCUUGUAGUGAAGCCAGAUUCCCAACUCUCUCCCCAGGCGGAGUAUCUCCAUCCAUGACUGUGUGUGUGUGCAUGUGUGCAUACAUGCUUGCAUACGUGUGUAUACACAAGUGCAUGCAUCAUCAGCAAAUUAGGAGCAAACACCACUGAGGGGGUAUUGAAUUCACUUUUUUUUUUUUAAGAUUCUAUUUAUUUAUUCAUGAGAGACACAGAGAGCGAGAGAGGCAGAGAUACAGGCAGAGGGAGAAGCAGGCUCCAUGCAGGAGCCUGAUGCGGGACUCGAUCCUGGGACUCCAGGAUCACGCCCUGGGCCAAAGGCAGGCGCUAAACUGCUGAGCCACCCAGGGAUCCCCCUUGAAUUCAUUUUUACCUUGAUGGCCAUUUCUCAGACUAAAGAACAGUAUUCUGACUUUAGCGGGUACUGCUAAAAGACCAACUAUUCUUUAGAAUAACUAUUUUAGAAAAAUCACAGUCCAAGUUAGAAGCCAUAAAAAUCAUUUUCAGAAUUCACCUUUUCUAGGUAUUCUUCGUGAAACCAGUAAUUUAAAUUACUAAAAAUGUUCUUAAAAUUUUAAAACUCUGAGUACCUUGACAUUGUCUUUCUUCCAAAGACCCCCUUUUAAUCUGCCCAGAGGGUUUAAAACAUUCUCUGGUGUUUUCUCAAGCUCCACCUUAUGACAGACCACAGUUAUUUCCAAAACCUGCAGUGAUUUCUGAGUUGACCUCCUCUCUGACAGUUCUCCCACAGUUUACACUCGGUGCCUCCAAGCGACUUGGCUUUAAUUCUAGGGUUUGUAAUCAACCCACAGUGUGAAUAUCUGCUCCAGGUGAAUUUUUACCAAACCUGGAAGAUGCCUCUAUGUGAAGCAAGUCAGAGCCUAACUCCACAAACUCAGACGUGUAAGAGAUCAGCUUUAUUUUUCCAUUAUUCCACUUCUGUUCUGAAUCUCCAUUCUGUGGGGGUACCUGGGAGUUCAUCCCUGGCAUUCAGCAACCCCUCCUUUUCCUGGGAUCAGUCUAACUUUCUGGGGAGAAGAGAGAGCUUUCAUAGUAGUAAGAUACUGUUGAAGGCAUUUGCCAUUCAUCUACAUGAAGUCUCUCGAGAUAUCCCUAAUGACUGUGUACAUGAUUACUUCAGCCCUGGCUGUUCUCUCCACUGUGUUCCUGGGAACUUGGGAACUGUUUUAGCUUAUUUGCCAUGCUGGGACACCAGAGCCUCUCUGAUGAUAUACAUGACCCCAUUUGCCUGGCUCUAAGAUACUGCCGGUCCCUCUGGUUGAGAAAGGGAUUGAAGUUUCCAUGGACAUCAAUCCAGGACAUACGAACAGAUCACCACAGCUCUCAGCAUCUUUGAGUUUCUUGGUGGUUGGCCAAACCCCUGAGACUUUCUGGGACCCACCUAUCUUUCUGUCCUCCUUACUUCCUCUCCAUAUACUUCCCCAUCCCUGUCUAAACUCUCCAUAUUCCAAGAAAUAUUCUCAUCUAAGCAAAUAGUUUUCUCUGUUUGUUGUCUGUGUCCCCUCUGGACUGAAAGUUCCAGGAGAGAAGAGACUUGGUAUUAGGAGCAUGAGCGCAUGGACUUUGGACCCAGCCUGUCUGGAUCCUAAUCUCAGCUCUGUGCUUACUAGCUAUGUGACCUUAAACAAGUUACUCAACCUCUCUGUGACUCAGAUUCCUUUUGUGUAAAACAAGGGAAACAUACCUUAUAAAGUUGUUAGACAAUUAAGUGAGUCAAUACCUGGCACACAGUACGUGCUAUCACGUAUUUAUUAGACAAAGUACCUAACACUUGAUAUAAUGCCUAAGUCCUAUGGGAUGCUCAAAACAUAUUUAUUGAAUGUAGAAAUAAAAGAAAAAAAGAAUGAAUGAAUACCACAAGGCCAAACAUUAUCUAUAACUCACUUGUUCUGUGAGCUAAACCACAGUGCAACAAGAUCAAGGUCAUUUGCUUGAAUCCUGAAAAGGGCAGCAAAAUUUAUUGUUGCGUAGCGACUGAGUACAUCUCUAAACCUGUGUAGCUGUCCAGCAAUUGAAUAAUGCUGUCUUCAGCUAGAAUGAAUAAGAAAGUCUGAACGGGUCAAUGUUUGCUUGUCACAGUUGGCAUCCAAAUCAUACACAGGACAUGUCCUAUUCACUGCAGCUUCACACUUUCACCUGCUUUAUAAAUGCUACCUCUUGUUUUUAAUCAUCCUGUGAGGGCAGCCCGGGUGGUUCAGUGGUUUAUGCCACCUUCAGUCCAGGGCCUGAUCCUGGAGACUUAGGAUCAAGUCCCGUGUUGGGCUCCCUGCAUGGAGCCUGCUUCUCCCUCUGCCUGUGUCUCUGCCUCUCUCUGUGUCUGUGUC